rnacentral:rRNA from 1 species
UACGUAGGGUGCAAGCGUUGUCCGGAUUUAUUGGGCGUAAAGAGCUCGUAGGCGGUCUGUCGCGUCGGAUGUGAAAAUUCAGGGCUUAACCCUGGACCUGCAUUCGAUACGGGCAGACUAGAGUUCGGUAGGGGAGACUGGAAUUCCUGGUGUAGCGGUGAAAUGCGCAGAUAUCAGGAGGAACACCGGUGGCGAAGGCGGGUCUCUGGGCCGAUACUGACGCUGAGGAGCGAAAGCGUGGGGAGCGAACAGG